GACGAACGCUGGCGGCGUGCCUAAUACAUGCAAGUAGAACGCAGUUGCGAACGGGUGAGUAACGCGUAGGUAACUGCCUCAUAGCGGGGGAUAACUAUUGGAAACGAUAGCUAAUACCGCAUACUGUGAGAUGGACCUGCGUUGUAUUAGCUAGUUGGUGGGGUAAAGGGUCACCAAGGGGACGAAACAUAGCCGACCUGGGAGGGAGGUCGGCCACCAUGGGACUGGGAAACGGGCCAGACUCCUACGGGGAGCAGCAGUAGGGAAUCUUCGGCAAUGGACGGAAGUCUGACCGAGCAACGCCGCGUGAGUGAAGAAGGUUUUCGGGUCGUAAAGCUCUGUUGUUAGAGAAGCGGUAACUGACCAGAAAGGAACGGCUAACUACGUGCCAGCCGCCGCGGUAAUUC
rnacentral:rRNA from 1 species